UUCUUUUGGAGGUCUUGAAUUGUUAUCGAGUUUUCUUCUCUUGUUCCAAACCUUUUGAGUAUAUUGUUUAAAUUAUAAACUUUUGCUAGCUCAGAUUUUCUUUCUUCAUUUAGUAAUUAUUUAAGUUUCAGAAUAUACUUUUUUUUAGUUUUGGAUCAUUAAUUUUAUCUAUAAAGUUUAAUAACAGGUUUUGUUCUCUCGUUAUCAUGCAUAUUUCAUUGAUGUUUGAUUGAUCUGAGUUACUGCUUACCAACUUGAUUUCUUCUGACUCAGAUUCCUCAGAGCUUGAGUUCAACAGUAAUAUUAUUAAUUAGCUUUUUAUUAAGUUUAUCAGGUCCAACUCAUCAAUUUCUAUUUCAUUUAUUUUUGUCUUUAACUUAUAUUUGUUGCUAUAGUGUUUAAUUUUACCGCACUUGAGCUUCUUUCUUAUUGAGUAAGACUUAGGCCUCUUGGUUUGAUAUUGUAUUGCAUUUAAUUUGGAAUAGUUUCCAAAUCAUUCUCUUUUAGUUGAUCUUUUUUUUUUUUUGACAUGUCUUGC
rnacentral:lncRNA from 1 species